GGGCGUGUGGCUCAGUUGGUAGAGCGCCCGCUUAGCAUGAUGUCCACUUUCGGAGAUCAGUAAUAUGCGGAAGGUCCCCGGUUCGAUUCCGGGCUCGUCCA